UAUCCACACUACUGUGAGUUGCUUUGGAUAAAAGUGUCUGCUAAAUGGCAUAUU
rfam:Salmo salar isolate Sally breed double haploid chromosome ssa27, whole genome shotgun sequence.